CAAGUCGAGCGAGAAGGAAGCAAUUCCUGUAAAGCGGCGCACGGGUGAGUAACACGUAGGUAAUCUACCUCGAAGUGGUGGAUAACCUUCCGAAAGGAGGGCUAAUACAGCAUGAGACCACGGUUUCGAAAGAGAUUGAGGUCAAAGCGGGCCACUAUACAUAAGCUCGCGCUUCGAGAUGAGCCUGCGGCCCAUCAUGGUUUGGUAGGGUAACGGCCUACCAAGGCAAAGACGGGUAGCUGGUCUGAGAGGAUGAUCAGCCACACUGGAACUGAGACACGGUCCAGACUCCUACGGGAGGCAGCAGUGGGGAAUCUUGCGCAAUGGGCGAAAGCCUGACGCAGCGACGCCGCGUGAGCGAUGAAGGCCUUCGGGUUGUAAAGCUCUGUGGAGGGGGACGAAUAAGGGCACGCUAAUACCGUGUUUGAUGACGGUACCCCUUUAGCAAGCACCGGCUAACUCUGUGCCAGCAGCCGCGGUAAGACAGAGGGUGC
rnacentral:rRNA from 1 species